GACGAACGCUGGCGGCGUGCUUAACACAUGCAAGUCGAACGGAACGGCCCUGCUUUUGUGGGGUGCUCGAGUUGCGAACGGGUGAGUAACACGUGAGUAACCUGCCCUUGCCUUUGGGGUAACUUAAGGCAACAGGGGCUCAUACCGGAUAAGAGUUCUCGCUGCAUGGUGGGGGUUGGUAAGAUUCGGCGGUUGGUGAUGGACUGGCCGCUUAUGGGCUUGGUGGGUGGGUAGUGGAUUACCAAGGUUUUGACGGGUAGCCGGCCUGGGAGGGUGACCGGCUCAGUUACGCCUGAGCUACGGCCCAGACUCGAACGGGAGGCAAAGGUGGAGAAUAUAGCACAAGGGGCGGAAGCCGGAUGCAGCAACGCAGCGUGCGGGAUGACGGCCUUCGGGUUGUAAACCGAAUUCGCCUGUGACGAGGCGUGAAUGACGGUAAUGGGUAAAUAAGCACCGGCUAACUACGUG
rnacentral:rRNA from 1 species